rnacentral:rRNA from 1 species
GUAGGUGGCAAGCGUUGUCCGGGAAUUAUUGGGGCGUAAAGCGCGCGCAGGCGGUUUUUUAAGUCUGAUGUGAAAGCCCACGGGCUCAACCGUGGAGGGUCAUUGGAAACUGGAGAACUUGAGUACAGAAGAGGAAAGCGGAAUUCCACGUGUAGCGGUGAAAUGCGUAGAGAUGUGGAGGAACACCAGUGGCGAAGGCGGCUUUCUGGUCUGUAACUGACGCUGAGGCGCGAAAGCGUGGGGAGCAAACAGGAUUAGAUGCCCUGGUAGUCCACGCCGUAAACGAUGAGUGCUAAGUGUUAGGGGGUUUCCGCCCCUUAGUGCUGCAGCUAACGCAUUAAGCACUCCGCCUGGGGAGUACGGCCGCAAAGGCUGA